UUUAUCAAAAACAUGUCUCUUUGAGAUUUUUUAAUAAAGAGUUGGGCCUGCUCGGUGAUUAAUAUUUAACAGCUGCGGUAUUAUAACUGUACUAAGGUAGCAUAAUAAUUUGCUCUAUAAAUUGGGGCUAGAAUGAAUGCUUUGACGAAAAUUUGACUGUCUCUAUUUUAUUUAUUAGAAAUUAAUUUUUGUAGUGAGAAAGCUUAAAUUGUUUAAAGGGACGAAAAGACCCUAUUGAGCUUAUAUUAUUUUAUAAAUUAUAUGAUUGUUGUUUAUUUAGAAUAAUUCUGAUUGGGGUGAUCAAGGAAUAAGAUUGUUU
rnacentral:rRNA from 1 species